rnacentral:tRNA from 1 species
GAAAGUACAGUUAAUCUGUAAUUUCUAGUUUACGUCUAGAAGAUUCUCUUAAGAGAUACUUUCU